GUUAUAAGUGCCAAGAUGAGACGUUUGAGAUUCCAGUGGAUGCCUCUGACCCAGCCUCAGGAUGGGGACUCAAGGAGGGCUUCCUGGAGGAGGUGCUGCUUAAAUGUGACCUGAGUAGAGCAGAAGUUAAGCAGCGGCAUUGGAGACAGAACUGGGAGAUGGGGCCGCCGGCUGCAGCCGUACACACUCAGCUGUCACCCUGGGGGACUGGAGUGACCCACUGGAUCCUGAUGCUGAGGCCCAGACAGUGUAUCGGCAGCUGCUCCUGGGGCGGGACCAGCUCAGGCUGAAAUUACUGGAGGAUUCUAACAUGGAUACAACUCUGGAGGCAGACACAGGGGCCUGUCCUGAGGUCCUGGCCCGGCAAAGAGCAGCAACUGCCCGCCUGCUGGAGGUGCUCGCAGACCUGGAUCGUGCCCACGAGGAGUUCCAGCAGCAGGAGCGAGGGAAGGCGGCCCUGGGCCCCCUUGGCCCCUAAGGAAAUGCCAGAGCUAGCCCGGAAGGAGGAGCAAGAGCCAGGGGGCCCUCUUCAGCGCAUCCUGCCCCGGGAGUCUCCUGUCUCCUUGGACCUCUUUGAUUCUGUGGUUUGGAGGCUCCCAGAGACGUGCCUAGUCCUGUGUGCCUUGAGUCCAGAACUCAGGGCAUGGAAGCCCUUUGGCAGGGGCCAGCCUUGCACUGAGUGAAACUUGCCCUCUGGCUUGAUUCAGACUGGAGUGGAUAGGAUAAGGAACCUGACUUAUUUGACUGAGACUGGGGUCUCUACUUCACCAAACUGGCCUCUAUCCAUACCAAGGAGGCCAGCCUGGCCCUGAGCUGCUGGAUACAGCUGGACCUGAAUUCCUGAUGCCCAUGUGAUGUUGUUGCCCCAGAUGGGCACUAAAUGGCCUCACUCCUU
rnacentral:lncRNA from 1 species